rnacentral:rRNA from 1 species
CGCGUAGGCGGCUUGGUAAGGGGGCGGUGAAAGCCCGGGGCUCAACCCCGGGUCGGCCGGACCGACUGCCGAGCUCGAGCACACUAGGGGCAGGUGGAAUUCCGGGUGUAGCGGUGGAAUGCGUAGAGAUCCGGAAGAACACCGGUGGCGAAGGCGGCCUGCCGGGGUGUGGCUGACGCUGAGGCGCGACAGCGUGGGGAGCAAACAGGAUUAGAUACCCUGGUAGUCCACGCCGUAAACGAUGGGCACUAGGUGCUCGAGGGAGCGACCCCUUGGGUGCCGGCGCUAACGCAUUAAGUGCCCCGCCUGGGGAGUACGGCCGCAAGGCUGAA